GACGAACGCUGGCGGCGUGCUUAACACAUGCAAGUCGAACGAAGUGGCGAACGGGUGAGUAACGCGUAAUCAACCUGCCCUUCAGAGGGGGACACCAGUUGGAACCGACUGCUAAUACCGCAUACUGAAGGAGGGGAUUGCGUCUGAUUAGCUAGUUGGAGGGGUAACGGCCCACCAAGGCGAUGAUCAGGAGACGGUCUGAGAGGAUGAACGGCCAAUUUGGGACUGGGACACGGCCCAGACCCCUACUGGGGGCAGCAGGGGGGAAUCUUCCGAAAUGGACGAAAGUCUGACGGAGCAACGCCGCGGGAGUGAUGACGGCCUUUGGGUUGUAAAGCUCUGUUAAUCGGGACGCGGUACCGGAAUAGAAAGCCACGGCUAACUACGUGCCAGCAGCCGCGGUAAUUC
rnacentral:rRNA from 1 species